rnacentral:ncRNA from 1 species
AGACUUUCGGAUUAAAAGGGAAUCAGGUGCAAAUCCUGAACAGUCCCGCUGCUGUAAGCUCCAUUCAACCUGCUGGAAAAGACUCAUGCCACUGAUGACUGAACACUAUCGGGAAGGCUCCAGCUGGGGAGUAAGUCAGAAGACCUGCCAUCAUACAU